rnacentral:rRNA from 1 species
AUGGAGAGAUGGCAGAAUAAGAUUAGAAAUUUGAGAAGUUUCUUGCGAGGGUGGGCUAAGCAUCUCAGAGGGAUCUAUAAGGUUGAAAAGGAAAGGCUCCUUACACUUAUCCAGUCCCUAGAUGUAAAAGCCGAGUCCACAAUUCUACAAUCCUUGGAGCUUCAUGCCAAAAUAGAUGCGGAAAUGCGAUUGAAAGAGCUGUUGCGGGAAGAGGAGUUGAAGUGGGCUUUGCGAUCUAAGGUUCGCAAAGUCAUCCAAGGGGACACUAACACUCAAUUCUUUCAUAUGAUCGCUAAUGGCAAGCAUAGACAAAAAAGAAUCUUUCAGCUUGAGCAAGAUGAAGGGACGAUCUUAGGGCAGGAAAACUUAAAUUUAUACAUAACAAAUUAUUACAAGUAG